rnacentral:tRNA from 1 species
AAAAGUUAAAUUCUAAGAAUAUUUGAUUUCGAAUCAAAAAGUUUUCACUUUUA